GGGGCGCGGAGGCGGGAGGCAGGGUGGGCGACCUGGUGGCGGCUCGGCAGUAUUUGUCCUUUUGUGUGAAGCAGUUUAAUGUGAGGAGGGGGGAGGGGGCGUUCUAGAUCCUUCGCGGAAGAGGGCUGUUCGGCGUUUCUUCCCGGUCCUACCAGCCUUGCACCACUGAUAGCUUCGCUUAUGCAAACGUGCACGAGGUGCAGAGGGAGCGGAGAGGAAGGUUAACCUGCGGGACAGCAGCUCUGGCUGCCCAGGAGAUGGGAACCACUGGUGUGCCAUAAGCUGGAGGAGUGUGAUUUUUAAAGAUGAUUUGACCGCAGUGGGAAAUACAUACGGCACCAGCUGCAAAACUGUUGUAAUGGCCCAGGCAGGCCUCAGAACCUGUGAGGGCGUGAGGGCUUAUACCAGAACAGUGAUCACAGGGAUGGAGAAAUAAAGUCAAAUUUAAGGCCCAGCUGGAUUUCCGUGCCCCAAUUUACUGUCAUUGCCAGAGCUUCUGAGCAUGCGCUGAAGGCAGAGCUGGACUAACCAACGCUCUCCUGAGGCUCAAGCAAAUGUGGUGUCCCAGAAGUCUCCUGAAACUUGCUGUGCGAGAUAAUAGACUUCAUGUAUGUUAAGCGGUGUAUCAGAUCCUUUGGGAAUCAGUGUUGUACACCAGCCUAAAUGUACCUGGAGUUUACUGUCUUUUUAAGAAAUCUGAAGAAUGUUGUUCCUUCUGCAGGAACCUUCAUGCUGAGAUGACCCUAGAUUGUUAGUAUGUCACAGCAAGAUGCCUUAAUGAAGGUAGUCAGAGUGCAGAUAACUGCCAACCUUAAACUAAUAUAAACACAGCAAAUACCAAGGGAAAAAUCAGAUCACAAGGAAGCCAGAUUCUGUGGGUAGAUUUCUGGGAGGAAGGAGCAAGAAGACAAAGGGAGGAGAAGCAAAAAGAAAAUGGACUUAGCAGUGAGAUGGACAUGUCUCCACCAUCUCGCCGCUCAAACUAACAACAAUCAUUCAAAAGCCAUCCCUAAGUUGGUGAAAUAUAUAUAUUAAAAUAGA